AUUCAUUCGAAAGAAUUAUAAGAGUGCAGUAGUUUGUUCUAACAACCAGAUUUUGUGCAAAGAAAUUUGUUGUAGUUACAUUUUUCGUUUGAUAAAAAAUUAAACUAUUUUAUAUCCACUAGCGAUUACUUGCUGUUUCAAUUGCAUUUCGACGGAAUGGAAAACUUAUACUGUAACAAAUACUUGUUGCAUCAAUUGCAUUUUGAGGAAUAUAUAAAUAAUUUAUCAUGCCGCAAAAUCCUUUUGUACCAUUCGAUUUUCUACCAGAACCUACUAUUGAACUUUUAGUCGAAAGUGAAUCUCGAAAUUAUCGGAAUAUAUGCAAAUACCCUGAUAUGUUUAGAAUUGAUAUAUUAGAAAAAUUUAGGAUAAUACAUAACCUCAAAAGAGGUUAUCCUGUUUUAGUUUUUUACAGUGAAAUAGACAACAUCAUUAGUUGCGGAAAUUUCCAAUGUAACAAUAUCCUUUUUUAUAAUCGUGAUUAUUUUAAAGUUGAAGAAUUUAUAUUAAUUCAACAUGCUAGGGAUGUGCAAGAAUUAGCUAAAACAAUAUUAUGUUCCGAAUGUAAUAUUCGCUGUACAUACCUUAUGAUUGAUGUUAACUAUUUUGAAAAUCUUACCACAUAUAAAAUUAAUUUACAACAAAUUAAAAAUACAAGAGUAAAUAAUAUUGAUAUAAGAUCUUUAGUUCAACAUUUUUAGUUAUGAAAAAAAUAAUAAAAUAU